rnacentral:lncRNA from 1 species
AAUACAUAACCGCACUUAACCAUAAAACCAAAAUUAGCGUUAUACUCAAUAAUUAUGACACAUCGGCUCUAAAGUCUGUGACGAAGCGAUACUGACUUCUUAUAACUGGGCCUGUUUCAGGGAGCUGUAAAUUUAUUAUGACUUUAAGUUUAUUUAUUCUAGCCGGUCUGUAUAUCUUCCAUUGUGAAUUUCAGUCUUACAGACUGUGCUUAGGGAGGCGUGAAACCGAAUUUGAUCUCAAAGACCUCUUCCAGUAUUGAUUAUUCUAUUAUUCUCUUAUCAGCAGGCAGGCAAGUCUGUGUCCAAGAGCCCGGAAAGCCUCAAGUUCUGGAAUAUCAAAGCCACCCAUCAGUUCAAGCUGGCUUCUGCCUUCCCAUUGAAACAGGAAGGAUUUAAUCUCCAGGAGGAGCAACACAAUUUCAGGAGCACAAAAGGAUCAGAAGGCUGCUGAUCAGAGUGCACCAGUUGGCUGACAUCUCAGGGAAAGAGGAGACAAACGAGGAGCUUGGGCGCUUGUGUUGUUGCUUUGCUUAUUUAAUUGAUAAAAUAAGGGACUGUAGUUUACUUGUCUUCCUGAAGCAUAAAUAUGUCAAAUUAGUAAUGAGAAGUUGUUUGGAAGGAAGAAUUCUUUCUUGGGAAAAACACAAAAUGUCAAGUUUGGUAACUGUGCACCCAAUUGUUAUGUGAAGAACACAGAGUGAACCCAGUCAGGCUGUGCAUGUGUUCACAGUUGAUGAUGUGACCUUUUUAGAGUUAAUAGUCGGUUCUCUUGAUCCUGAUAAGAAAAAAAUCUGGCAAUGCUGUGGAACAUUAUUCUGAAGGACACAAUGGACCAGGUUGGAAGCUCUUUUUACUAAACCUGCAUUGGUUAGUCUGAAGAUAAAUUAUUUUUUCCAGAGAAGGCAUAGAGUUCUGACAUAGGAGCGAUGACACAAACCUUACUAUAUCAUCAAACCAGUUUUUAGAGGAAUUAAAUACUACACAUGGUAUUUUUUUUAACCACGUACAUUGAGGGAGUAGGUGGUUUUUGCUAAAAUUGUUGGAGUUGUCAUUUUCAAUAGGAUUUCCUAUUUUCAGAGUUGCCUGCUGAACCUCAGGUGCUGGAGCUCAGCUACAACAUUCUCACCCUGUGUGCCAGCUGCCUUCUGCUGCUGCAAACAUCCCCAGGG